AGGGUGUGUCUGCAUCUUCCGAGGUCUGGCAACAUCAGGAUGGGGCUGGGUUUGUCUGUCUUAUUCCAGAAGGCAUAUAGCUAAGGCAUAGCUAAGAUUUCAGCUGACAGUGGAGCAUGUUUUAGCCCAGGUGAGCGUGGUUUCUCUCCGGGCACAUGACCCACUCCUGGGGGAGCUCUGUGUGGGGCAGACGGUGCUCACCAUGCGGAGCCCAGAUCGCUGAGUGUGAAGGGAUGAAGCUGGGGUGAGUGCAUGAUUUGGGGGAGGGUGGAGUCUGGCAUCCCAGGACCUGGUACCCUGAGACCUGGCACCCUGAGACCUGAUACCCUGAGAUCUAGCACCCUGAGAUAUGGCACUUUGCGACCAGGCACCCUGAGGCCUGGCACUUGGAGAUCUGGCAUCCUGAGACCUGGCACCCUGAGACCUGGUACCCCAACACCUGGUACCCAGAAACCUGGCACGCCAACGAGGUGAAGAUGACCCACAGCCGCCCUCACAGCCUGGGCACCGAGUGCCCGGUGGAAGGCUGCACCUGGGAGAAAUCCACAGCUUAGGCAGGUGGUCUAGGCAGUGUCACACCCCCAGUGGCGGAGGCUCCCUGGGACACGCUGGGUAAGACAGCGGGGGUCCAGGAGUCAAGUGUCGGGUGAGGACGACCUCCUGCGCCCACCAGACAGCAAGGAAGCACCCAGUGCC
rnacentral:lncRNA from 1 species